rnacentral:lncRNA from 1 species
CAGAGCGUUUUCUAUUUAUUUACACUCGUCUGAAAAUCGCAUUGACAUUUUUUUCAUGCAACAUUCAAUUUUGCGUCUGCAGGCGCGAUUACAAGGAAACGAUUGCAAAUAAGUAGAACGUAGUGAUAUUGUAUUGCAUCUACGAUUCAGUGAUUAUUUUGGUAAUUUUCAUUAUGACCAACAUUCCAAUGCUCAGAUGUAGCAUGUAUUACAUAUGUAUUCUUUAUCAGGCAUUUCAAUUCGUGAAAUAGAAAUAAUUAUUUUUAACGUGUAAUGAAUACAUGAACACACUUCUAGCUCAAUAUUUUGUAACAAUGGUAAUGGAUGACAGCUGAAAAAGUAUAGGUAUUUAAUGUAGGUAUAACGAUUCGGCAAUAUAUCUCAACCAAGUUUUUUUGACCAAUUGUUAAGCGGAAACAGUGUAAAAGACGCCAAAUUUAAAUACGAUUGAGAGAAUCAUCAAUUCGUCAAUAGUAUGAAUUUUAAUUCUAAAAAUUGACUUUUCAAUAUUACCAAUGUAAACAUAUAUUUUUUUACAGGUUGGAAAAAUUCAAUGAAUAUUCAAGUAUUCAGUGGAAAGAUAUUUUAAUCGAGUUGGAAAACUCAAAUCGUUCACUCCUAACAAUUGAGAAAAACCAUGGACAAGAAAAAAUAUAUCUGAAAUCUAAUAAAAUACUUUAUAAGCUCGACAAGAUGAUGAAAAGACAAUGGAAGCGGAAGUGAUUGCAACAAAGAACAGGAGAAAUCUUAUAACAUAAAAGGACGAGGGCUUAAUUGAUUCGAGUGCAUCUACCUGCCACAACUUAUGUAUCUGCAUUUCAAUUUUUUGAGAAAUUAAACAAGCUAUCGUAUGCGUUAUCAAAAGAGGAAUUUCUACAGGCGAAUUCAUCCUUGAAAAUUCUGCCUGAUGGAUGGUGAUCAAAACGAUGCUUUUUCCACAAUGGGGAAACUUGGUGGGUGAAGCAGCAGCUGAAUACUAAACAUAUGUAAUGACAGUGAGACAAGUGAAAUAGGAGAUACUCAAUCAAGACUCAGGAAAACAAUACCUUUGUGCAGGCUGAUGAUAUGAACCCAAGGGGUGAUCAGAACAAUCAGGCUACUCCUUCUAGUGAUAGCACUGAGUUCGAACAGUGUUUUUUGAUUAUCAAAAAUAUUUUCAAUUACUGUGUUUCAAAUUUUGAACUGCUUUUUUGACAAUCUUCAUCUUCUUUUGUUAUGUUUCUACAAGUAAUAUUAAUAAUUCAACGAAGGCUGGGUAUUUUCACCUUCCACAAUCUGAAGAAUUGUAAUAGAGAAUUUGAUACAAGUAUAGAGAGGGUAAAUUUUAUAGUUCACCCCGAUAAGUUUAUGUGUUUAUUCAAAGUAUUUUUCAAAAAGAAAAAUGUUCUAUUUAUCAGUAAUUUGUGAAUAUUUUUUUUGUGGUGUUGAUGUCCACUGGCAGAAUCAAGCAAGACUGAGAAAAAUUUAAUUUCCUAACUUUUCCAACCUUGAUAUAGCUGCAGCCUGUUCAAUUUUUUUAUCAAGUAGUUUGCCAAACAUCAGAUUGAUGGAAACUUUCAUUUCUAGACCAGUCAAAAGCAAGGAUGGUGUAUAACAUGUUGUCUUGUGUUGAGAUGUCAAUAAAAAGCAGAAUACUACAUUGGCCCAGUCCUGUUCAAGACGAACAUCAAGGGGUAUUGUUUAUUGCUCCAGGUACAUUUUUCAAUUAUUCUAUCAGACCAAUCUGUCAGAGCUACUGUUCCAAGUCUUGUCUCUAUCAAAGUCAUAAUUUUUUCUAUUCAAAAUCAUGACCCUGAUUUUCUUACAUUUCCAAAUUCAUAUCUUGUAUUUAAGUUAUGUAGUAGUGCUUCAGUUACAGUUUUUGGUCUUAGUUCAACAUGAGAUCUACAUUAGGUAAUUUGUACAACUAGUCAUCACAACUUUCGGCUUCUUGUUACAUGAUGUACUAAUAAGUAAUAGCCCUAAAAAGGCUACUAGUGAUGUGCUGUUUUAGUUAUCCAUUGAGUUUUGUUUUUGAGCUUUUGCUGAACUCGUGUUAUAGCACUUGCACUGUUCCUUCAUGUCCGAUAGCAGUUCUCCCCUCUCACACUUUUUCCAUCAUUAUUUUAAAUUGCAAAUAUUCUCGACUAUGCCAUGACGGUGGUGCUUGAGCACUGAGCAUGUUUGUUAUGGAUGUUCCUGGUACUACAGUCUCGUUUUUGUACAUUAGUCCAUCAGAACCUUGGUCAGGUUUGUUUAAUUACCAGAUUAGAUCAUCCUGAAAACAUAGCCACUCUCACUUGUUAUUUACACUUCAUUUCUAUGCGGGUAGAAUAUUUACAUGUUAUAUACUGUGGAUCCUGUAGUUAAAACUAGAAAGAAGUGUUAGAAUGAAAUGCAGAAUAAAUAAAAAAUAGAUCAAAUAUA